GCAGGAGGAGCAGGACCAUAACAAGGAGGACACAAACAUGUGUCUGCCGGGACACAAUCCAUGUGCACAUUUAGACAUUCCUGAGUUGCGAAUCAUGCAGCCACAAUCAACAAAGUGUAGACAAACCCAAGGUAAGCUUGCAAAUGAAUGCCAGGAGUUCUUGACAGUACACGACUGUCAACGUUUUGGUUGGAACCUUUAGCGCAACGCAUUGCGGGCCUUUCCACCUUUUGGGUAUCUCAACUUCACGCCAGUCCCUGAAGCAAAACAAGCAGUUCAAGAUGCCAAAUAAGUGAGCAGGAGGACCAAUUCAAUGAUGCGGCCGUUGAAGAUCACAAGCUUUGUCGUGCUUUCUUCUGACUAGAAGGACACUUACUCUUGGUGGUCCAACACAGGCCAGGAAUGAAUAGCAGCAUUGCGGCAACUGGCGGGCUCAUGUUCGGGCCGGCGCCUACUCAAGACGAUAACAAAAAAGCAGCAGCACACAACUGACGAGAAGGGUAACACAGGGGUGUGUGACUACUGCCAGCUCCUCCUGUCCCACAAACAUGCCGCGUCACAGAAGACUCAAAGAAACGAGUCUUGUCCGUGAGGAGUUUCCCAGAGAAGAACCACCUUUGGCGGGACACAUCGAUGGCCUCCUGAUCUUCCAGCUGCUUCUUCAGCUCGGCGAUGGAGUCGGCCAAGCUGGCAGUCAGACGCAC